CAUUUCAUAUAUAAGAAUAUCACACAGUGGUGAAUAACAGUACAGCCUAUUUCACAUCACUCUUAUUCAUGUUACAAAUAAGAACACCACAAUAACACAACCUCGAGACAUCCAGGGCACCUCCAAGCAGCACCUCUUAUUUGAACUUUCAUGCUGGGCAGAGCAUGAACAGAUAAUACCAUGACUAAGGAACCUUGGUUCUCUUAAGAAGAUGGAUACAUGGUUGUGCUCUUCUGGAGUGCCCAAGACAUGUGCUUACGCUUGAUGAAGUCCGAAGCCACCGAAUCCACAUCUGUGUUCACGUCAUCUUUCUUGAUAGGAUUGGCAUGGUUGUCCUGAAACCUGACUUGUUUCUUGGGCGCUUGGACAUGGUUCGCUCCUACUGCUGCUUCUUUCUUCAUAACACUGGCAUGGUUGUCCUGAAAGUUGGCAUGGGGAUGGUGGGCUUGAAAGUAGAGCAUUCGAGUGUGCGACAUUGCUCUGUGGCUCCUUGCGUGGGGGUACGAGGAAAUGCUGGAAGGGUAGGAACUGGUUUGUUGCUGUGAUUGCUCUUGUCCUCUUUUAUAGGCCCAUAAGGAUGCUUAUUCUUAGACGGCAAGUGGGCAUCAUAUUCUCCACUGCUGACAAUUUUGAGAUAUUUUUCGUGUUCUCUUUCUUGUUAGCUUUCUUCAUUCAAAUUUGUUAGGCGUUGAAUGACUCCAUCUUUAUCUUGUAAAGUAAUUUUGCUUGCUAGGGCUUCUCGCUUAGCGUGGACCUAAGUUAUGUUCCUUCUGCAGUUCUUUUUUCAUAGGACGCAGUUGAGUUGUUUUCCCACUUCCGCUCAUAAAGAUAAGUAAUAUCUUCUUUCAUAUGCUGGAUUAUAAUUUUGUCCACCUUUCGUUAACUAUGAAUAACAAGGCAAGUGCUAAACAUAUAUAUGGUCUAGCUCUUUUACUGGGUUUAUUUGUUUCACUGUAUUUUUAGUUAAUUUCAAAUCUGUGACUGUCUACAUGAACUCUGAUUGAGUGAUAGUUGUGCUGCACCGAUUUGUAAUAUAUUCAGUCCCAACGAUCCAUCAAACAACUGGGACAAAAAAAACCUUUUCUUUCUUUAUGUUUUUCUGGAAGGGCGUGUAUCAGAAUUGAUGAUAAUCUGCUUCAAAUUUUGUUUUUGUAGUAGAGGUAGGAGCCCAUGAUUUUAGAACCAUGCUCUGGUGUAUAGUGUCUGCAACUAUUACUACAUUAUUCGCCUACGCCUGUUCCUUGUGGCGAAAAGCUAUUCCUGUUGCUCCUUUCCUUUGCAUAUGAUCCUAAACCUAUCAUCUUUCUGUUUCUGAAAGGGUGUGCAUCAGAACGGCCAUUGAGCUGCUUCGAAGGCAUCAUUACCUUUUUCUAAAGGUGUGCAUGAAUUUAAAGCCAUGCUCUGGUGUAUGUAUAGAUGCUGCAACUAUUACAAACAUUAUACGUGUAUGUAUAGAUGCUUCCCUGCAGGGAAGAGCCAUCACCAUUGAUUGCUCCUUAACUUUGCAUAUGAUUCUCAGCCUAUCAUCUUUCCAUUUCUCAAAAAGAACUGGAUGCCUUUUCCUCUUUUCUUUGGUCCAGUUUUCAUGUUCCUGAAUAAUAAUAAUAUCCUGCAACCACAAUGAAAGGGACCUAACCGCUGCCUCCAUUUGCCUGCAGAGACGGAUUUGCCGCACGAUCGGGUGAGAACUGUGCGGGAGACGCUGCCUGGAAGGCAUAUCCGACGCGGUGGCGCUCUGCGGAUCAGGCCAGGGCGCUGGUUUCUUGACGGAGUUCGGCAUAUGAUAGGGACUCGCAACAGAAAGCAGUCAUAUGUUGAUAGGUAGAUAGAUAUGCUCCCACCUCUUAAGAUGCUUCGUGCAUCCCAUGCUCUAGAUCUAUUAUCCGCGGAAUGUUUAUCACAUGGGCAUCUUGAUAAUUUUAUAUAUCCUUUAUUAUACGGAUGGAAAUGUAACAGUUUAUAUAUUCUAGAAAAGCGAGAGCGCUUGGUUGCUGUCAAUUUUUUUACAUUGCCUUACUGCAGUUGAGAACUUGCAGGGCUUCUGCUGGCAGUGUUCUAUCAUCUUUUUGGAAUCUCAGCGAACAGCAGUUCGUUUCUUUUGGUUAUAUAAAUGUUUUGCCAUCAGUUUUGCUAUAUGCAGGUUGCUUCAUCUUGUUUCAUUGGGUCAAUCAGUUAUCCAGGACCGUUUGAUUUGUUUAGAAAUCCGUGCCUAUGAUUGUGGGUAUUGAUACAUGAAGUGAUUAUAUAGUUUUGAA
rnacentral:lncRNA from 1 species